rnacentral:rRNA from 1 species
UGGGGAAUUUUGGACAAUGGGCGCAAGCCUGAUCCAGCCAUGCCGCGUGCGGGAAGAAGGCCUUCGGGUUGUAAACCGCUUUUGUCAGGGAAGAAAUCUUCUGAGUUAAUACCUCGGGAGGAUGACGGUACCUGAAGAAUAAGCACCGGCUAACUACGUGCCAGCAGCCGCGGUAAUACGUAGGGUGCAAGCGUUAAUCGGAAUUACUGGGCGUAAAGCGUGCGCAGGCGGUUUUGUAAGACAGAGGUGAAAUCCCCGGGCUCAACCUGGGAACUGCCUUUGUGACUGCAAGGCUUGAGUGCGGCAGAGGGGGAUGGAAUUCCGCGUGUAGCAGUGAAAUGCGUAGAUAUGCGGAGGAACACCGAUGGCGAAGGCAAUCCCCUGGGCCUGCACUGACGCUCAUGCACGAAAGCGUGGGGAGCAAACAGGAUUAGAUACCCUGGUAGUCCACGCCCUAAACGAUGUCAACUGGUUGUUGGGAAGGUUCCUUCUCAGUAACGUAGCUAACGCGUGAAGUUGACCGCCUGGGGAGUACGGCCGCAAGGUUGAAACUCAAAUGAAUUGACGGGGUCAUAGCUGUUUCCUG